UACAGGGGGUGCAAACGUUGCUCGGAAUCAUUGGGCGUAAAGCGCACGUAGGCGGUUCGUUAUGUCGGAUGUGAAAGCCCUUGGCUUAACCGAGGAAGUGCAUCCGAAACUGGCGAGCUAGAGUACUAAAGAGGAUCGCGGAAUUCCUGGUGUAGUGGUGAAAUGCGUAGAGAUCAGGAGGAACACCGGUGGCGAAGGCGGCCUACUGGGCCAGCACUGACGCUGAGGCGCGAAAGCUCGGGGAGCAAACAGG
rnacentral:rRNA from 1 species